GAUGAACGCUGGCGGCGUGCCUAAUACAUGCAAGUCGAACGCUGGAAAUCUAGCUUGCUAGCUUGAAGGAGUGGCGAACGGGUGAGUAAUACAUAAGCAACCUACCCACGAAGACUGGGAUAAUCUCUGGAAACGGGGACUAAUACCGGAUAGGUAAUCGGAAGGCAUCUUCUGAUUAUUAAAGGUUAAAAACACUGGUGGAUGGGCUUAUGGCGCAUUAGUUAGUUGGUGAGGUAACGGCCCACCAAGACGAUGAUGCGUAGCCGGCCUGAGAGGGUGAACGGCCACAUUGGGACUGAGACACGGCCCAGACUCCUACGGGAGGCAGCAGUAGGGAAGUUUCGGCAAUGGGGGAAACCCUGACCGAGCAACGCCGCGUGAGUGAUGACGGCCUUCGGGGUGUAAAGCUCUGUUGUAAGGGAAGAACGGUAGAUAGAGAAUAUCUAAAUGACGGUACCUUACCAGAAAGCCACGGCUAACUACGUG
rnacentral:rRNA from 1 species